rnacentral:rRNA from 1 species
CAGCAGCCGCGGUAAUACGGAGGGUGCAAGCGUUAAUCGGAAUUACUGGGCGUAAAGCGUGCGUAGGCGGUGAGUUAAGUCUGCUGUGAAAUCCCCGGGCUCAACCUGGGAACUGCAGUCGAAACUGCAAGACUUGAAUGUUGGAGAGGUUGGGGGAAUACCUAGUGGAGAAGUGAAAUUCGUAGAGAUUAGGUGGAACACCAGAGGCGAAGGCGCCUGACUGGCCAAACAUUGACGCUAAGGCGCGAAAGCGUGGGUAGCAAACAGGAUUAGAUACCCCCGUAGUCCCUGUCUCUUAUAC